ACGCUGGCGGCGUGCCUAAUACAUACAAGUCGAGCGCACAGACGAGGAGCUUGCUCCUCUGACGUUAGCGGCGGACGGGUGAGUAACACGUGGAUAACCUACCUAUAAGACUGGGAUAACUUCGGGAAACCGGAGCUAAUACCGGAUAAUAUAUUGAACCGCAUGGUUCAAUAGUGAAAGACGGUUUUGCUGUCACUUAUAGAUGGAUCCGCGCCGCAUUAGCUAGUUGGUAAGGUAACGGCUUACCAAGGCAACGAUGCGUAGCCGACCUGAGAGGGUGAUCGGCCACACUGGAACUGAGACACGGUCCAGACUCCUACGGGAGGCAGCAGUAGGGAAUCUUCCGCAAUGGGCGAAAGCCUGACGGAGCAACGCCGCGUGAGUGAUGAAGGUCUUCGGAUCGUAAAACUCUGUUAUUAGGGAAGAACAAAUGUGUAAGUAACUAUGCACGUCUUGACGGUACCUAAUCAGAAAGCCACGGCUAACUACGUG
rnacentral:rRNA from 1 species